GUGCCUGUAGCCCAGCUGGAUAGAGCGUUUGGCUACGAACCAAAAGGUCGGGGGUUCGAAUCCCUCCAGGCACG
rnacentral:tRNA from 2 species